rnacentral:rRNA from 1 species
AUUGAACGCUGGCGGCAUGCCUUACACAUGCAAGUCGGACGGCAGCGCGGGGGCAACCCUGGCGGCGAGUGGCGAACGGGUGAGUAAUACAUCGGAACGUGUCCUGGAGUGGGGGAUAGCCCGGCGAAAGCAGGAUUCAUACCGCAUACGCGCUAAGGAGGAAAGCGGGGGAUCUUCGGACCUCGCGCCCAAGGAGCGCCCGAUGCCGGAUUAGCUAGUUGGUGGGGCAAAGGCCCACCAAGGCGCCGAUCCGUAGCUGGUCUGAGAGGACGACCAGCCACACUGGGACUGAGACACGGCCCAGACUCCUACGGGAGGCAGCAGUGGGGAAUUUUGGACAAUGGGCGAAAGCCUGAUCCAGCAAUGCCGCGUGUGUGAAGAAGGCCUUCGGGUUGUAAAGCACUUUUGUCCGGAAAGAAAACUUCGACCCUAAUAUGGAUGGAGGAUGACGGUACCGGAAGAAUAAGCACCGGCUAACUACGUGCCAGCCGCCGCCGUAAAAC